rnacentral:rRNA from 1 species
UAGAGUAAUGCGUGACCAACCUGCCCCAUGCUCCAGAAUAGCUCUUGGAAACGGGUGGUAAUGCUGGAUGCUCCAACUUGACGCAUGUCUUGUUGGGAAAGUGUUUAGUGGCAUGGGAUGGGGUCGCGUCCUAUCAGCUUGUAGGCGGGGUAAUGGCCCACCUAGGCUUCGACGGGUAGCCGGCCUGAGAGGGCGGACGGCCACAUUGGGACUGAGAUACGGCCCAGACUCCUACGGGAGGCAGCAG